rnacentral:rRNA from 1 species
CCUACGGGGGGCAGCAGUAGGGAAUCUUUCACAAUGGGCGAAAGCCUGAUGGAGCAACGCCGCGUGCAGGAUGAAGGCCUUCGGGUUGUAAACUGCUUUUAUAAGCGAGAAAUAUGAUGGUAACUUAUGAAUAAGGAUCGGCUAACUACGUUCCAGCAGCCGCGGUCAUACGUAGGAUCCGAGCAUUAUCCGGAGUGACUGGGUGUAAAGAGUUGCGUAGGCGGCAUAAUAAGUAGCUAGUGAAAUCUGGUGGCUCAACCAUUCAGACUAUUAGCUAAACUGUUAAGCUCGAGACCGUUAGGGGUAACUGGAAUUUCUAGUGUAGGAGUGAAAUCCGUAGAUAUUAGAAGGAACACCAAUAGCGUAGGCAGGUUGCUGGGACGGUUCUGACACUAAGGCACGAAAGCGUAGGGAGCAAACGGGAUUAGAUACCCCAGUAGUC